rnacentral:rRNA from 1 species
ACGUUAGCGGCGGACGGGUGAGUAACACGUGGGUAACCUACCUAUAAGACUGGGAUAACUUCGGGAAACCGGAGCUAAUACCGGAUAAUAUAUUGAACCGCAUGGUUCAAUAGUGAAAGACGGUUUUGCCGUCACUUAUAGAUGGAUCCGCGCCGCAUUAGCUAGUUGGUAAGGUAACGGCUUACCAAGGCAACGAUGCGUAGCCGACCUGAGAGGGUGAUCGGCCACACUGGAACUGAGACACGGUCCAG